CUAACCGCGCAAAGGUAGCAUAAUCACUUGUUCUUUAAAUGAGGACUAGAAUCAACGGCACCACGAAGGUUAUACUGUCUCCUUUCUCUAAUCAGUGAAACUAAUCUCCCCGUGCCCCAUGGAGCUUUAAACCUAGCUACACCUCGAACCCCCACACCCAACUACUAUCCGAGCCCUGAAAACUAGGCUUUAGGUUGGGGUGACCGCGGAGUAAAACAAAACCUCCGCAAUGAACGAAACUACCAUCUUAUCUAAGAGGCACCCCUCUAAGAAUUAGUACUCUAACAUAAAUGAUCCAAUCAUUGAUCAACGAACCAAGUUACCCUGGGGAUAACAGCGCAAUCCACUUCAAGAGCCCAUAUCGACAAGUGGGUUUACGACCUCGAUGUUGGAUCAGGGUACCCCAGUGGUGUAGCAGCUACUAAUGGUUCGUUUGUUCAACGAUUAAAACCCUACGUGAUCU
rnacentral:rRNA from 1 species